UACGAAACCGACUCACCCGUGCGUUGGUCGGUGCCCUCCAUUCCCGUCAUGGUCUACGGACAAUACCGCUACCGAAUGUCAUCAGGUUACCUGCAGCAACCAGCGGAGGCUAUCAUCUGCAUCGAGGGCCGUGUCAUUCCGAAGACGUAUUAGAAACGCAGCUUUCGUUGGCGUAGUCCAACCAUCGAUAUUUUACGAAUUGCACUCUCGCCGUGGAUCAGCCUUCCACGGACGCCUCCCUGGCCGCGGCCGCCCGCAUCUGCGCGCACCCUCCGCAUACUCCGCAGCCCAGCGUCGCGGAAGCCGAAUUGAAAAGAAAAAUGUCGCCA